rnacentral:rRNA from 1 species
GGCUAGUAUGAAUGGAUAUUACGAAGGUUAAAAGCUGUCUCAAUUUUAUAUAUAAAAAUUUGGUUUUCAGGUGAAGAAACCUGGAUUGUAAUGAAGGACAAAAAGACCCUAUUGAGCUUUAUUUUUAUAAGAUUUAAAAUGAAUAGUAACAUUUUUACUUUAAGAAAUUUGGUUGGGGCAACAAAGGAAUAAACUUAUCUUCCUUUAUAUGUGGGAAUUAUAAUUCUUUUAAUAGAUCUAUUUAGAAUAAUAAGAAGAAAGAGUUACCAUAGGGAUAACAGGCUAAUUCUUUUGGAGAGUUCAUAUUGAUAAAAGAGUUUGGCACCUCGAUGUUGGCUUAGAAUAUCCUAUAGGUGCAGCAGUCUAUAAGGGUUGGUUUGUUCAACCAUUAAAAUUC